rnacentral:lncRNA from 1 species
CCUUUUUUGUUGUUGCAUUUGUUAGACGAGCGUGGUGAUGGCAUGCAGCGGUGGUGGUGCGUGUGAGGAGGCUGGCGGCUGAAGAGGGUGUGGGAGGCUAGGGUUUUCUGACAUUGUUUAAGUUUUUGGGCUUAUCUGGCCGCCUAGGGUUUUUUUUAUUUUGGGUUUGGGCUAUUUGGGCUUGUUGUGAGUGGACUGAGAUUAUUAAUUUAUUUAUUUUUUUGGUUUUUUUAUUGGGCCCGGGCAAAAAUGGCCUAUUACAAUAAUUUAAUAAAAUUUUGAUAUUUAAUGUUAUUUUAGUUUUCCAGUAUGCUUAUUUCUAUUAAGUUUUUUUUAUAUAAUUUUC